GGCAGUGGUGGCUGGCGGUUAAGGCUCUGGGUUACUGAUCUUAAGGUUGUGGGUUCAAGCCCCAGCACUGCCA